rnacentral:lncRNA from 1 species
UAUAUAUAUAUAUAUAUCUCUUCACAAGCGCAUCUUUUCUAACUUUAAAAACCACAAUUCCUUACAUGUUGCCUGAACUUUCCACAAUUCCAUAAUAGUUUGACUGGAUGCUGAUCUUUGGAUAACAAGUGAACUAUACUUAAGGAAAGAGUAUAUGGUCCCUUUAGUAACAAGAAAUAAGGUUGAUAUGACUAAGGCCAUGUUUGGAUCCAUUAGCUACUAAUAGUUAGCUAGCUAAUAGCUCAUAGCUAAUGUUAGCUAAUUUGGCCCAACUACUGAUAUAACUGUUAGUUGAGUAUUCAGCAUUUCAGCUAACAAAUGGGCAAAUAGCUAGACUAUUAGCUGGACAUGUUUGUACCAAAAGGAGCUAAUUAUUAGCAGCUAACUAUUAGUUCUACGAGUCCAAACAUGGCCUAAGUAAAUGAGGUACCAAAAUCAAUAGUCUCACAGUUUCUCCAUGGAAUUCAAAAUGUUCAAGUCCUAGAGAUUAAAAUCAAGAGAUACAAUCUCUUUCCUAAUGGCUAAAGAAACAGUUGAACCCUGUCAUGUCCCCUGCUCAAGGAGCUUACCAAUCAAAAUAGACUGUUAAAUCCUAUGAAGAACCAAAAGAAAAAUGAGCAGGGUGCUGGAAUUUGAGUUAGGUACCCAGACAAUACCUACUCAUAAUUAAUUUGAACUCUAGGAUGACCCUGAUGCCUGGAAAUUGCAAACCUCAGACCAUUCUCUGCAUAUAUGUGCAUGAUCCACACCUUUUGAGCUCUUGCUUUGAGCUGAUAUUGGCUGGCCUUUUUUGGCCCCUUAUUGCAAAGCCUAAAUUCCCUGUAAAUAUGGCGCUGUGGAGUGUGGAGCCUGGUGGCUCCCAGCGAUGCUUACCUUGCUGAGGAAGUGAGGACACAAAAUUACAUGACUGUAUUAAUCCAGAAUCUGUUCUCUAGUACUCCCUCGUCCACAAUUCAUGUAACUUGUGCAAGUCAAAUUAGCUUAACUUCAAACAAGUUUAUAAUGAAAAAUAUUAACAUUUAUGUCUCCAACAAGGUUUAUUACGAAAAUGUAUUUCAUAUUAUAUCGCAUCAUAAAUGUUAGUACUUUUUUUUGCGGGGAUAAAUGUUAGUACUUUGUUAUAUAACUUUGGUCAAAUUUCAAAUCGUUUAACUUCUUGAAAACUGGGAAUUGCGUCCUUUUGUCGAUGGAAGGAGUAUUUUGAAGAUCCUCAAGGCAAUCCUCAGAAUAGAUCAGGCCUGUUCGCUUGAGCUGGCUGCAGCAGUUCAAGCUACAGUAGUUUGCAGUUCAAAAACUGCAGCCACAGCCACAGCCGAAGCAACAGGGCCGAAGAGAACUUCUUUAGUCAGUAUCAUUAGCGGCUUGACCUUGUAAACAUGUCCAUGGAAAUUAGGGGCAUGCAGGCACGCUGAAGCUACAUUGUCCUAUGCUGCUACGGUUAUUCUCCUGGAAAGCACAGCUAAUGAGGUACCUGACAUGUCCACAAUGAGGUACGUACCUGAGUACCUGACAAAUAGGCUAUAGAGAAUACGGAUCAACCUAAAAUUCUUCAUUAGUUCCUACAAUGAUGAAACUGAAAUUAUUAAUUAAUCAAGAAAGAAACUCUAAAUUGUAUUUUUUUCCAAUCAACGUGGAAAUGUCUAGCCUCAAUAGACCAAAAUGCGGCAUGUUAUGUACGUAUGUGUUCUCAAAUUAAUUUUAUACUUGUGGUUGUGGGUUAAGUUUUUUGGAGCCCUUUGGAGCUCUACUCGUACUAUUAUGGAAGGGGCCGGAAAGGGUGAAGGUAAAAAAAAAAUUGAUGGCUUCACUGGCUCCUAAUAAUUCUAUGGGAAUGAGAGACAGAAAUAGCUUUUGUUAUAGCGAGUGCUCUUGGGCAGGAAUGAUUCCUAAUUGGCUGAUUUUAUUCUUUUUUUGUGGCACCCAAAGGUAGCUGCACGGAUCUGGAGUGGGGCUGAAUUGAAGCGGCCUUUUAUUUCAAAUUUCUUCCUUUGUGUCGGAGGGGAUUUCAAAGAUUUGGUUCUUAUUUUCGUGGACACGGGGACAUAUAUAACGAAAACAAAAGGUUGCCUGAAGUCGAGUCAGGUUGGUUCUAUGUGUCUCUUCUGAGGUAUCUUCGCAUAUUUGCAUAUUUGCCUUGGGAGUUCAGAGGUACUAGCUUCAGCUGUGAACAAUCAGAGGCGUUGAAGGUCCGGCCGGUAUUCAUGGAGCCAAAUAACGUUCAUGACCACAUGGAAGGAGGAUAUGGUGAUAUGUUCAUCAAAUAGUUGCCUGAUGACAUUUUACUUGACAUCUUGGGGAAAGGUCAAAGGAGACAUGCAUGCGUGCAUCAGGGUCAGCUUUUCGUCAUCCCGAUUGAGGCAUCUCCUUUACUUCCUCACAUCAGAUUAGAUAUUUCGAGUUGUUUGGUUCAACUGUUGGUAACGGAAACGUAAAAUGAAUUAAAGCUGUGGACAUUACAAGUGGGAGAUAUAAUUGAACUAAUACCAUUUUAUGUUCAUGUUACUGUUGAACCAACCAACAGCGUGUUGGAGAUUUUCUGCACCCCAACAAUGUUCGACUAGCUGAAAAAAGGUUGUUGUUGAUGUUGAUAUUGAUUUAUUGUGAGAAAAAACAUUGUUCCAUGGGUACCUGGUUGCUUGAACUUAUUUAUCUCACCGACAUCUUUUGCCCACUACAGUCCCAAUUAUUUGUAUCAGAUUGGCAAAAUACUUUGCGAAGCUAUUAACAGUAUAGGGAAGCGAAGAGCGUGGA